ACGGUGGGUGGAUUGGCCCACAUA
rnacentral:siRNA from 1 species